rnacentral:lncRNA from 1 species
AUUUACUUUUUGCUUAUUAUUCCUUGUAGCCUAUUUCUUAUUAUUUUUGUAAUUUCCUAAAUACAGAUUUACUACAAACAUUAGCUAAGAAAGGAACUUCAUGGAUAAGUCUUGUCCGUCUCUUUCAAGGUUUUUCCAUAACCUUUUUAUUAGAUUUAAUUAAAUCUGUUAGGUAAUCUUCUUAGAAUUAAAGAUGACGUUUGUUUGUAGAUUUUUUUAAAGAGUAGAGAAAUGGGGCUAAAACAAUUAUCAACAUGCUAAAGAAAGUACAGGAAAUGUUGAGUAUAUCAUAUGUCCUUGUGCACAAUGUCGACAACUUCGUUGUUAGCAUGCUUAUAUGGUUUAUAAGCACCUGGUUAUAACAGGAAUUAUUCCUACAUAUUGCAAGACUCGGAUAAUGUUGAGUCUCCAUUUUAUCCAGGAUAUACAUAAUAUACAACCGUACUUUUGAAUCUGAUUUUUGAUGCUACAAUUAGGGGUGGCAAUCUGGGUCAUAAAUUCAAUGCACACUAAUUAGACUUGAAUUUGAAAAAAUUGAUUCAUUUAAUAAACAUGUGAGAUUGAUUCAAUUCGUUAAUUAAACGAAUUAAAUUUGGGUUUGAGGACACUGAUUCUUUUAUUUGUUUAAGAUUUGUUUAAUAAAUGUGGUCAUAAACGAAUUGAAUACGAUUCAUGUGUUUAAAUUUUGUAUAGUUAAAUUACUUAUUUAUUGUUAAAUAUGUAUGAAAAAAAUUUGAAGUUUGAAGGCUAAUGUAGUCAUUAUAAAUGAUAAUAAGUUUGUAUUUUGUAGGAUGUUAAAUUUUUGUUAUUUAUAUUUUAUUUUGCUUAA